UUAUGCAAAAAGACGGUGGAUAUUAUCAUCCACCGGCUCUAAAGGCAGUCACCCAAUUUAGGGUUUGGCCUGGUCGCCGUCGCUCUCUCUCUCUGUUCGGCAGGUGUGGCUCCAUAGCCUUGUAUCACCAACUUUCUUCGCUCUUGUUCUCCAAUUCAUUUGCUUUGUUAUUCUCCUCUUAUUCCCGUUUAAUGGAUAAAGAAGGGCCUUCACAAUCCCGGAUAAACUCUCUUAGUGUUAAUCCGAUACACACAUGGCCGAAAGCGAUGGUGGGGAUUUUUCUCUAUCUCAUACCGCCCGAUUUUCUCUCCAUCCAGGAGGCGUUUCGUUUACUAUGACUUCUCCAUACAUCAUCUUCAUCUUGGAUUUCAAGACUGCUGGAGAGCAGGACUCUUUCAACAACUAUUUUGAUCCUCCGCUUUGACAUUAUAAGAUAUUAUUUGUUAUUUUCCGUAGAUUGGUCAAUGAUGUAGGUGUUAAAAUAAUUUUGCGAAAUAUUAUUUUCUUAUAUUGUUUCAAUUAAUUGGGAAGUUUGGAUGAUAAACAUGUACAUCACAAGCCCUUAUGCUUUUUGAUAUUUAAAUAUAUAAUUUAGUUAAUAUUA